GUUUACCAUCAGGUGAGCCGUACGCUUGUUUGCCGACCUAGUGACAUAAAAAAAAAUAGAGCUAUUUUUUAUUUUUACUCGUGAACCUUCGUAACUCUUAGAUUUAAAAGCCCCUUUGAAUUGUCAUUUUAAAUUAAGUUUAUUUUAAUAAGUUAGUGCUGUGACCAUGGUUGCUGGAAAGUAUCCGAAACGUCGAGCAUUUAAAAAACUUAAUAAACCGCGAUAAAUUCCGAUAAAGUUGUUUCAUUAUAAUGAGUGAGAUUCGCGUAAACAUUAGAGAACAAUAAGUUAACAUGAUCUGUCAUCAAAUCGAAAUAUAGAUUCUGUAGGAGAAAUGGCCAAAAUUCCUCAUUUACUCUUAGAGAAUAUAGUUUUUGGCGCUCAUAUUAAUUUGCGAAGCAAGUUCCCGC
rnacentral:misc_RNA from 1 species